GUAAAGGCUUUUUUUAAAGCUACAACAUAACUUGCAACAAGUGUUUU
rfam:Lucilia cuprina strain LS Scaffold165, whole genome shotgun sequence.